GGCGAGUGAGCGGCAAAGCUCAAAUUUGAAAUCUAGCACCUUCGGUGUUCGAGUUGUAAUUUGAAGAUGGUAACCUUGGGUUUGGCUCUUGUCUAUGUUCCUUGGAACAGGACGUCAUAGAGGGUGAGAAUCCCGUCUGAUGAGAUGCCCAUUCCUAUGUAAGGUGCUAUCGAAGAGUCGAGUUGUUUGGGAAUGCAGCUCUCAGUGGGUGGUAAAUUCCAUCUAAAGCUAAAUAUUGGCGAGAGACCGAUAGCGAACAAGUACAGUGAUGGAAAGAUGAAAAGAACUUUGAAAAGAGAGUGAAAAAGUACGUGAAAUUGUUGAAAGGGAAGGGCAUUAGAUCAGACUUGGUGUUUUACGAUUAUCUUCUCUUCUUGAGUUGUGCACUCGUAUUUCACUGGGCCAGCAUCGAUUCGGAUGGCAAGAUAAUGGCAGUUGAAUGUGGCUUCACUUCGGUGGAGUGUUAUAGCUUCUGCUGAUAUUGCCUGUCUGGAUCGAGGGCUGCGUCUUUUGACUAGGAUGCUGGCGUAAUGAUCUAAUGCCGCCCGUCUUGAAA
rnacentral:rRNA from 1 species